rnacentral:rRNA from 1 species
CCUACGGGUGGCAGCAGUGGGGAAUAUUGCACAAUGGGGGAAACCCUGAUGCAGCGACGCCGCGUGAGCGAUGAAGUAUUUCGGUAUGUAAAGCUCUAUCAGCAGGGAAGAAAAUGACGGUACCUGACUAAGAAGCCCCGUCUAACUACGUGCCAGCAGCCGCGGUAAUACGUAGGGGGCAAGCGUUAUCCGGAUUUAAUGGGUGUAAGGGGAGCGUAGACGGCGGUGCAAGCCAGAUGUGAAAGACCGGGGCUCAACCCCGGGACGGCAUUUGGAACUGUGCUGCUAGAGUGUCGGAGAGGUAGGCGGAAUGCCUGGUGUAGCGGUGAAAUGCGUAGAUAUUAGGAGGAACACCAGUGGCGAAGGCGGCCUGCUGGACGACGACUGACGUUGAGGCUCGAAAGCGUGGGGAGCAAACAGGAUUAGAUACCCUAGUAGUC